UACUUACUUCUGACAAGAGACAUGAAAUAAGUAUGAAAAUGGGACAGAGGGGAAACAUUUUUAGAUUGCAGAGAAUUCGUUGUGAACAUUCUAAAUGCAUACAUAAACCUGUCAGCAGCAAUCGUUCAGUCUGCUGUGUGCAACAACACCUACAGUAAGCUAUUUGAAUACAAAGUGGAGUUGUUUCCAAGUUAAUAAUUUGGAACAGUAUUCCAACAGUAAAGUAAUGGAAAUUAUUAUUAAAGCCCUUCUCCAGAGAAGGCAAGUUUAAAUCGUGCUAUUUGUGUUUAAUAAAGGAAACUUGAUGCUCAUAAAAAAACAUUUUGAUCACACUUUAGAAGUACUUCAAUGACUCUGAAACACCUUGGGAUGUCCUAGAAGUAGUCUGAAAGGCAAUGUUUAACCGUAAGGCCUUUUCAUCACUGAAUAAGCAGUGAAGCCUUCCAUGCUAUGACAGAGUUUCUCUGUUAUUCUUUCUUUAACUUCUCACAUUCCUUCUUCUGUGCUUGCUUUAAAGCAUGCAAUGUGUUUAAUUUUUCUCGAUUUUGGAUGGAAGGGUCAGAGUGGAAGAUACAAAAUGGAAGACUUCAACUUGAAAUGUUGACUCAGUUUUUCUCUCCACAUACUGCAUAUUACCUGACACAACCUCCAGGAGACAGAAACCACCCCCCCAAAGGAUGAAUGACGGAACCCCAAAGCCCCCCCCAUUCACAAGGAGCAGCAAAAACAUCAACCCUCCUGCUCGCCCCUUCCCUCACUUGCUCCAGCAAAAGCAUCAACUCCCCACCACCCACCAUGCUGUAAUAGCAAAGCCCCCACAGAGACCAUGAUCUAAUUCAAUAAACUGAUGUCCUUUGCCUCUUUGUUGGCAUGCGUAGUUGCAACCCCAUUACAAAUAUUGAUCAAAUCGCAGCAGUGAGUUGGUGAGGUGCAGCUCACGUCUUCACAUCGUAGUCUUGUAAUUUGUUGCCAAGCACCAUGAGCAACCUUAUCCAAACCUCAGGGAAAACAUAUUUAAGUUCUUCAUAGCAAGUUGGAUAUAAAGGAGCCCACGAUUUCAAGGUGGAGCAUAACUCUUGAUCACAUGUGGCCAAUAUUUUCACCUAAAUCAACAGCACCAAAACACAUCAUCUGGUAAUUAUGACAUGGCUAACUGUGGGAGCAGGCAGUGCAUACAUUGACUGCUGCAUUUCUUACUUUACAACAGUGAAGAUACAUCAAAUAGUUCUUCACUGGCUGCAAAGUUCUUUGGGAUGUCCUCAGGUCAUAAAAGCUGCGAUGUAAAUGCAAGUCUUUCUUUCUUUACGAAUUUGAUGAAUUGAAGCUGUGACCUUCCAUUUACUCUUGGAUUUUUCUCACAAAAGAUUAAAGUUACCGAAGUUCACCCUUGCAACAAGUAUAUACUUUGAAUUGCAAUUGCUGGACAUCGAUAAUGUUUCUCUUGUUCGGUGGGAUGACCGGUGGCGUGGGAGCUGUGUGGUCUUGGUUGUAGCGAGGACUGGACCUCAGGCUGCAGGCUGCAGUCCAGGAGAGGAGACACUGGAGGCGGGGCAGUGUGGUGUCCAUGCUCAUUUGGGGACUGUCUUCUCCCGUCGAUGCUGCCCUCCAAUGUUCAAUUGGUGGAAUGAGUGACAAGAGAAAAUCUUCAGAUGCUGCCUGGCCUGCUGAGUUCCUGAACAUGGAAUGACAGGCUAGAUUACAGUGGGACAGGUCGCUCAAGGUCUUGGAAUAUAUAUGUUUUUUUUUGUGUGACUAUUGUUUCUUUGCUCACUGUUUUGAAUGCGUUGUGUAUGCUUUGCACCUUGGCCCCAGAGGAAUGCUGUUUCGUUUGGCUGUAUUCAAGAAUGGCUGAAUGACAAAUGAACCUGAAUUUGAUUUGAUUUGGUUUAUUUUAUUCAUUAGUGGAGCAAGAGCAGCAUUUACUUACAUCCUUUCUUUGUUUCCUCAGUCAUUCUAAAGUUAGGUUGGUGGUUAUUCUAGAUCUAAUGUCACAAAAAGGUAAGAUCAAGUUCAAUUUCAAAGUUUAAAGUAAAUUUAUUAUCAAAGUACACAUAUGUCACCAAAUACUACCCUGAGAUUAAUUUUUUUAUGGCCGUUCACAGCAGAACAAUGCAGUUAAAUAGAAUCAGUGAAUCAGAAGAAUGAGCCGUAAUCUCAUUGAAACCUGUUGAAUGUUUGAAAGACCUUGAUAGAAUGGAGUUAGAGAGUAUGUUCCCUAAGAUGGAGUGUGUAAGACCAGAGGACGCAGCCUCAGAAUAGAGGGGUGUCCUUUUAAAACAGAGAUGAGGAGGGAUUUCUGUAGCCAGAUGGUGGUGAAUCUGUGGAAUCGUUGCCACUGGUGGCUGUGGAAGCCAAGUCAUUGGGUAUACUUAAGUUAGAAGUUGAUAGAUUCCUGAUUGGUCAGGGCAUGAAGAGAUAUGGGGAGAAGGCAGGAGAUUGAGCCUGAGAGGGAAAAUUGAUCAGUCAUGAUGAAAUUGUGGACAAACUCCAUGGGCCAAAUGGCCUAAUUCUGCUCCUAUACCAUAUGAUCUUAUGGUGUAAAAAUCACACACAAAGACUGACAAGCAACCAAUGUGCAAAAGAAGUCAAACUAUAAAUACCAAAAGAAAACACGUAAGAACAACUUACCUAAUAGAUGUUAUCAUUCUAAACACACAUAACAUACAGAAAUCAAUAAGUGAAAAACAUUAGAAAUACGCUGAAUUAAAAGAGGAAACUGAAAGACUAUGGACCAUGAACAGGGUAUACUUUGUUCCGAUAGUAAUAUCUACAACUGGUAUCAUCCCAAAGUCACUACACAAUAGCAUUAAACAAUUAGGCCUGCACAGCAAAAUUUAUGUAAAUCUUCAGAAAGUCACAACACUAAACACCACAAGAACAGUCUGAAUGUUUCUCACAAUUGAGGAAUAAGCGUGCUAGGCUUUACCCGUAGCUCAGAUUUUACCAGCUUGAGCAGAGAAAAAAAAAUAAUGAUGGUAAUUAGAUAAGUAAAUAAGUAACACUGAAAACAUGAGUUGUAGAGUCUUGAAUGUAAGUACAUAGAUUCUGUUCAGUGAUCAGAUCAGUGUUGUGGUGAGUGAAGAUGUCCAGGAGCUUGAUGGGUGAAGACUAAUAAAAAAACCGGCAAAUUUCCACCUUUAAAGGACAACAAUGAGCAAUCAACUGAUGCAAGCUGUUUCUUCAGAAACUCUAGGUUUAUUUAAUUACUGAAAUUUAAAUUUUCCAGGUGCUCUGUGACUGAAUUUGAACUCAUUUCUGCAGAUCAUUAGUUGAUGUCUCUGGAUUACCAACAUAGUAACAAUUGCUCUUCAACAAUCCCCUCUUUGAUGUAUUGUGCUUUGCCUUCAUUGAGUUUUGCUUAAAGUUGUAAUGCUAUCAGCUCAUGUGAGUAGAUUUGAUCAUAUGACUGGAAGAGGAACCUGGACAUUGAAAAGGCUCCUUGAGGCAGAGUUGGAAGGCAAUGAAAUCCCAGGACAUUGUUUCAGGGGCAGGGUCAUGGGUUAAACACCCUAACUAUUCUUCAAAGUAGAGAAGUGUGAACUGUUACAUCCCUGAAAUGAGCAGACAUGAUCUGGGUAUAAUAUUUUAAUACCAAGGGUAGUAUCUUACAUGUGCCCCAGGCUGACCCUUUACUUCCAGUUAAAGGAAGGUCAGUGAGCUCCUGGCGGGCAAAGGAAAUGUUUCAAAGAUAACAUCAGAAUCAGCCUGAAGAUAUUCAAUGUUACAUCUGAAAACUGGGAAGACAUUUCACUCGCCUGGAGGGAGCUACGCUACAAGUGGUUGCUGUGAAAGGAGAGAUUGAACAACCAAAAGACCCAGCCACGAAUCAUAACCGCCAUUACACUUGCCCACACUGCACCAGCAUAUGUGGAUUUCAGAACAGCCUCUAUAACCAUCUCUAACAACAAUAGACAACCCAUGAGGAGACCAUCAUUCUUGACUUGAGUGAUUGUGCUUCCUCAUAUAGCGAAGGAUUCUAUCAGAAUCAGGUUUAUUAUCACUGACAAACGUCAUGAAAUUUACUGUUUUGAGGCAGCAGUACAGUGUAACAUAUAAAAUAUACUAUAAAUAGUAUAUUAAAUUAUUGCAAAAAGAGAGCAGACAUAGUGAGGUGGCGUUCAUGGGCUCGUUGUCCAUUCAGCAAUCUAACGGCAGUGUUGAUAAAGCUGUUCCUAAAACAUUGAGUGUGUGCCUUCAGCCUCCUGUACCACCUCUCUGAUGAUAAUAAUGAGAAGAGGGCAUGCCCUUAAUGAUGGAUGCCACUUUUUGAGGUAUCGGCUUUCGAAGAGGAGCAAUGGUGGGAAGGCUAGAGUUCAUGACAGAGUUAGUUGAGUUUAUAACCCUCUGCAGCUUUUUUCUGCUCUUGUACAGUGGGGCCUCCAUACCAGACAGUGAUGCUACCAGUUAGAAUGUUUUCCAUGGUACAUCUGUAGGAAUUUGCUCAAGUCUUUUUAACAUACCAAAUCUCCUCACUCCUAAUGAAGUACCAUACUAAACCAUAGUGUCAGCCUUCAUUCCUGUAUUUCUGGUGGAACUUGAACUACAAUCUUCUGACCUAGAGGCAAGAGUACUGCCACCUAAGCCACAUUGACUCUGCACUGUACUAAAGGAACAUCUGUUGUUUUGAAUCACAAACAAGAGAAAAUCUUCAGAUGCUGGAAAUCAAAGCAACACACACACACACACACACACACACAAAGUGCUGGAGAAACUAAGCAGGCCAGGCAGCACCUGUGGAAAAGUGUAAACAGUCGAUGUUUGGAGAUGAGACCCUUCAACAGGACUGGAACAAAGAAGAUGAGAAGUCAGAGUAAGAAGUGGACGAAGGGCAGGAAGAAGUACAAGGUCGUAGGUGAAAGGUGAAACUGAGAGAGGGGAGGGGUGAGUAAAGAGUUGGGAAGUUGAUUGGUGAAAGAGAUAAAGGGCUGGAGAAGGGGGACUGAAAGGAGAGGACAGAAAGCCAUGGAAGAAAGGGAAAGGGGAGGAGCACUGGAGGGAGGUGAUGGGCAGGUAAGGAGAUAAGGUGAGAGACGGAAAUGUACAUGAAGAAUGCUGAAGGUGAGUGGGGGAGACAAUAACUGAAAGUUUGAGAAAUCAGUAUUCAUGCUACAAUGUUGGAGGCUAACCAGAUGGAAUAUAAAGCGUUGCUCCUCCAACCUGAGUGUGGUCUCAUCGGGGCAAUAGAGUCCAGAGAAUGCCAGAUUGAGAAUGGGAAGCCGAAUUGAAAUGGGUGGCCACGGAGAGUAGUUGCUUGACAAAGCAGUCUCCCGAUCUAUCCCAGGUGUUGCAAUGGAGUGGACUGGGGAGCAGGACUCAGGCACAGAGACUUGACACAGAGACGGAUUUGAACUUGACUCGGAACUGAGAUUGGGACUGAGAGGAAAAAUGCCUCAGCCAUGAUGAAAUGGUGGAGCAGACUCUGUGGGUCAAAUGGCCCAAUUCUGCUCCUACUUCUUGUGGCCUUAUAGCUUUAUCUCAUUAGUUCUGGAAAGAAAAACCGUAUCCUGGAAGCAGAUGUGCCAGAGAUGGAGGAAUUGAGAGAAGGAAUGGCAUUUAGAAACAUAGAAUACUGAAGUGAAGUAUUCAUUGAGUACCUCUGCUAUUUCCUCCGGUUCUAUACGCACUUUCCCACUGUCACACUUCUUUCACGUUUUAUGCUCUUGCUCUUCACAUACUUGUAGAAUGCCUUGGGGUUUUCCUUAAUUCUGCCUGCCAAGGCCUUCUCAUGGCCCCUUCUGGCUCUCCUAAUUUCCUUCUUAAGCUCCUUCCUAGUAGCCUUAUAAUCUUCUAGAUCGCUAACAUUACCUAGCUCUCUAAACCUUCUGUAAGCUUUUCUCUUCUUCUUGAUUAGAUUUAUUACAGCCUUUGUACACCAUGGUUCCUGUACCCUACCAUAACUUCCCUGUCUCAUUGGAAUGUACCUAUAAAGAACUCUACACAAAUAUCCCCUGAAUAUUUGCCACAUUUCUUCUGUAUUUUUCCCUGAGAACAUCUGUUUCCAACUGAAGCCUCCAAUUUCCUGCCUGAUAGCGUCAUAAUUGCCCUUACUCCAAUUAAAUGCUUUUCUAUUGGUUCCUAUCUUUUGUUGGUUUUUGUCGGUUCCUAUCUCUCUCUAAUGCUAUUGUAAAGGAGAUAGAAUUAUGAUCACUAUCUCCAAAAUGCUCUCCCACUGAGAGAUCUGACACCUGACUGGGUUCAAUUCCCAAUAUCAAAUCAAGUACAGCCUCUCUUCUUGUAGGCUUAUCUACAUACUGUGUCAAGAAACCUUCCUGGACACAACUAACAAACUCCACCCCAUCUAAACCCCUUGCUCUAGGGGGAUGCCAAACAAUAUUUGGGAAAUUAAAAUCUCCCAUCACGACAACUCUGUUAUUAUUACACCUUUCCAGGAUCUGUUUCCCUAUCUGCUCUUUGAUAUCCCUGUUACUAUUGGGUGGCCUAUAAAAAACACCUUCCUGUUCCUAACCUCCACCCAUAGAGACUCCGUAGACAAUCCCUCCAUGGCAUCCACCUUUUCUGCAACCUUGACACUAUCUCUGAUCAACAGUGCCAUACCCGACCCCCACCUCUUUUGUCUCCCUCCCUGUUGUUCCGAAACAUCUAAAACCUGGAACUUGAAGUAACCAUUCCUGUCCCUGAGCCAUCCAAGUCUCUGUAAUUUCCACCACAUCAUAUCUCCAAGUACUGAUCCAUGCUCUAAGCUCAUCUGCUUUGUUCACAACACUCCUUGCAUUAAAAUAGACACAUCUCAAGCCUUUGGUUUGAGCACGUCCCUUUUCUAUCACCUGCCUAUCCUCCCUCUCGCACUGUCUACAAGCUUUCUCUAUUUUUGAGCUAACCUCCUCUUCCCCAGUCUCUUCAGUUCGGUUCCCACCCCCCAACAAUUCUAGUUUAAACUCUCCUCAGUAGCCUUAGCAAACCUCCCCAACAGGAUAUUGGUCACCCUGGGAUUCAAGUGCAACCCGUCCUUUUUGUACAGGUCACACCUCCCCCAAAAGAGGUCCCAAUGAUCCAGAAAUCUCAAUCCCUGCCCCCUGCUCCAAUCCCUCAACCACGCAUUUAUCCUCCACCUCAUUCUAAUCCUAUUCUCGCUGUUGCAUGGCACAGGCAGUAAUCCUGAGAUUACUAUCAUUGCGGUCCUGCUUCUCAACUUCCUUCCUAACUCCCUGUUGUCAUUUUUCAGGACCUCUUCCCUUUUCCUACCUCUGUCAUUGGUACCAAUAUGUACCACAACCCCUGGCUGUUCUCCCUCCCACUGCAGGAUAUCUUGGAUGCGAUCUGAAACAUCCUGGACCCUGGCACCUGUGAGACAAACUACCAUCCGAGUUUCUUUCCUGCAUCCACAGAAUCGCCUGACUGACCCCAUAACUAUAGAAUCCCCUAUAACUACUGCCUUCCUCUUCCUUUCCCUACUCUUCUGAGCUACUGGACUAGACUCUGCGCCAGAGGCAUGGCCACUGCUGCUUCCCCCAGGUAGGCUAUCCCCCCCAACAGUACUCAUACAGGAGUACUUACUGUCAAGGGGUACAGCCACAAGAGGUACUCUCUAGUAGCUGACUCUUCCCCUUUUCCCCUCCUGACUGUGACCCACUUGUCCAUCUCCCGUGGCCCCGUUGUGACCACCUGCCUAUAACUCCUCUCUGUCACCUCCUCACUCUCCCUGACCAGCCAAAUGUCAUCGAGCUGCAUCUCCAGUUCCCUGACUCGGUCCCUCAGGAGCUGCAGCUCGACACACUUGGUGCAGAUAUGGCCAUCCGGCUGGGAGACUCCAGGACCCCCCCCCCCCCGCCCCACAUCUGACACCGUGCACAGAAAACUGGCCUCACACAGAUACUUCCUACCUCGCCUCAUCCCGUUACUGCCUAAGCCCAUUGAGCCAAAGCCCUACCACUCUGCUACCUCUCACUCGGCUGUCCACUCCGACGCUGCCCGCUGGAUACGGUGGUCUUCUUUUUAAACCUUUCAUGCUCUACAGGCUGACAUCACGCGCCUGCGCAGUCUCGCCUCUCUUUAACCCGAGUAGUUAAAAAACUCCCUUCGCUCCAAAAAAUCAGCAGUUCAUUCACAGCCUUCUUGCUCUGAAUUAAAAACCAUUGAAGGUUCCUUGCCUUUUUAAACCUUUUUAUAUAAGUGAAAGGGUGGGAAGAGGUAUAGUCCAGGUAACUGUGUGAAUCACUGGGUUUAUAAAAGAUAUCAGUAGAUAAACUUUCUCCAGAGAUGGAGACCAAGGGAUCGAUAAAAGGGAGGGAGGUGUUGGAAAUGGACCAGGUAAAUUUGAGGGCAGCGUGGAAGUUGGAGGCAAAAAUCAAUAAAGUUGAUGAGCUCAGCAUGGGUGCAGGAAGCAGCACCAAUGCAGUUGUUGAUGUAGUUUUGAUACAUUAUCUUUUCAAUAUCGGUAAUGAGUGACAGUGAGUUUGCCUUUAAAUAUGUUCUGCACUCUGCUAGAUACCUUCAACUCAACCACCAGAACUCACCUCUUAACCUCUCCGCCUAUCGAACACUCCUCUCACCCUGUGUCCUCUCUGACACCAUAUUCCAGCAAUGUCCUUUUUCAUAGGGACCGCCAUCGUUCCUUCAUAACAAACGGGCAGAUGGGUUGUUUAUUUAUUGUCUUUAUUUCUCCAAAUGAGGGAUGUAUCAAACUGAGUUCAGACCAUCCCAAAAUAGUCUCAAUUAUUGAGACAGAACUUUACUACUUUAGGAACAAUGGGAUAAUACAGAACAGCCCUCCUCCACUGUAUCACAUGACUUCAAUGUCACUGAAGUAUGGUGUGUGACCAGUGCGAAAGAUCUGUUGGUGUCAGCAAGCAAAAGGCAAGUUUCUACCCCUUUGUGACUUUGCAACAACUGGGUGAGUUAAUGCCAGCCCUGCUCUGAUAACCAAACCACAGCCAGGCAUCCUGAUUCCCCUGCAUGGUACUUUCCUAAAUUUUACCAACUGGGAUUAGGCAGUAACACUGUGUAGGUGGUCAGUUAUCUGUGGGGAUAACUUUUCACAUGAGCUACCGAGAAGAAAAUUGAAGGGCUCAGGAAAAGUGCUAGUUUUCUUUUCUGAGCAAAGUUGUCAUAAAACUUCACUCAACAUUUAAACUGUUCCUCUCUGUGUGCAGUGGUUAUUUAUGCGCCUGUGCAUUUUUAAAUUUUAUUCAGAUACAGCGCAGAAAAGGCCUUCUUGGCCCCUUGAGCUGCACCGCCCAGCGGCCCCCGAUUUAAUCCUAACCUAGCCAGCUGAUACAUCAUUGCACUGGGGCAGGGGGAACUGGAGCACUUGGAGGAAAUCUACACACUUACGGAGAGAACAUACAAACUCCUUACAGACAGUGGCAGGAAUUGAACCUGGGUUGCUGGUACUGUAAAGCGUUGUGCUAACCACUAUUCUACUGUGCCACCCUUGUGUAUGUGUGUGUGCGCAUGGUGCUUGUGUAUAGGGUUCCUCCUCAGGAUACACAUGCACAACCCAAGCAUACACGUGGGUGUUUGGGAGAGCAGCGCGUCGCAUUUGCCAGCUGCCGACAUCUUUCUUCCAGCUGGGCAUGGGGUACUUUCUGUGUUCCUCCUCUCCCUAAUUGCCACCCACCCCAAGCCACAACCACUGAGCUUUGCAGAGCCGAGAGUUGAGCAGACCCACACGUACACUCACCGAGUUAGGGAGGCUGGCCGGCGACCGCUCCUCCCACUCCUACUCGCUCUUCCCUCACAGCUGUUCCCCCACAUACUUGUUUUGUUAAUUUUUGAUUUACAAACUGAUUGGAUUAUGAACAGUUCUCGGGAAUGGAUCACAGUUGUAAUCUGGCGAGAGCCUGCAUGCAUGUCUAUGUGUAUGUGUAUGUGCCUUUGUAAAUUGUGAAAUAAGUUAGUAAGUUGGUUUAUUAUUGUCACCUACACAGAGGUAUUGUAAAAAAUUUGUCUUGCAUGCUGUUUAUACAGAUCAAAUCAUUAGUCAGUGCAUGGAGAUAAAACAGUAACGAUACAGAAUAAAGUUCAAAAGCUCCUGAAAAAGGGCAGUGGAAGAUUGGAAGAAUUGGAAGAUCAUAACAAGGUACAUGUGAUUCACUGUUCAUUAAACACACCAUACUGUAUAUAGAUACUACACAAAAUAUCAGACAUCCACCUGACUACAAUGACAUUCACCUGAGUUAGUCAAAAUCCUCAUUUCUUCUGGUACCAAGGUACAGUGAAAAACUUGUCUUGCGUUCUCUUCAUACAGAUCGAUGCGUUACACAGUGCACCACCGUAGCGUAAUGCUAUUACAGCUUGAGGUAUUCCAGAAAUUGGAGUUGAUUUCUGAUGCCAUCUGUAAGGCGUUUGUAUGACUGUGGGUUUCCUCCAGGUGCUCUGGUUUCCUCCCACAAAGACAUACCCGGUCAGUAGGUUAAUUGUUAACUGUCUGGUGAUUAGCCUUGUGUUAAAUAGGUGGCAUGCUGGACUGGAAGAGCGUGUACUGUGUUGUUUCUCUAAAUUUAAAAUAAAAGAAUAACAGCAUGCAGAAUUACAGAGAAAGUACCUAUGUAAGGCUGUGAGAGUGUGAAAGUUUUAUGUGUGCUGGUGUCAAUGUACAUGCCAGGUUUUUUCUGUCUGUGAAAAUGUACAGUAUGUACGUGUAUGUGCACUGAGCACUUGGAGCUCUUCACCCUUAAGCAACAUUUAAUUGACAUAUGUCACUGCUGUGUUAUCAGAUGACAAUGAGAACAAGAUGACAGAUCGCAGAACAUUUUGUCUGUGUUCAGAGUGAGAUUAGUCAGAUCAGACAAAAACCUACCUUACAGUAUCUUUAUUGUAUGAAACAUUUUAUGUGGUUAUAUUGUAAAAUCCUUAGCACUCGAACAGACAGGCAUUGGCACCAGUUAUUUCUGUGUCAGAGAAUACAUAUACCCUAAGGUCACUUUUAUAAUAGAACACCGUGAGAGAAUUGGGAGGGCAAAUAUUAGCUCCAA